rnacentral:lncRNA from 1 species
AAUAUUUGUUUAUAGUACAGAUCCAAAAUACAAUAUCAAAUAAUUUUUACAUAUCCAAAUUCAAAGGAAAAGCUCCUAGCUAACAUCUAUUGCUAGAAAUCUAACUAUAGGGUAUAAACAAAGUAGGGAAGUUCAACUUCCAAUAACAAUAUUCAUUUAACAUGAGCUUCAAAUCAUUCACAUGUUUAGAAAUCGAUCCUUAAGCAUGAGCUAAGAAUGUACCUGGAGAAUAAACAACAAAAAUGAGAGGCCAGUAGAAUAAACACCAACAGUCAGCACCAACAGUAACACAGACCCCAAAUCCAGGAAUUUGAACCCAUAGAAUCACUGUAAAUCCAAUAAAAUAGUGACUUUAACAACAACUUGUCCCAAAACUUGAAUAUCAAACGAAUUUCAACUCAUUUUUAACCCUCGAACAAUCAUGACUUGUUUUGGAAAUGAAAACCUCAGAAGAAACUUUAAUGGAACAAUAUUCUUGCAAAGUUUACAGCUAUUUUUUAUUUUCAAGAUUUCUUAACUCUCAAAAUUCUAUAUUUUUCAGCUAUUAGACCUCUAGGUUUACCUUCUCUCAGUUUUGCAGGAUAUUAGCUCUUAAAGCUCUCUCUAGUUCUU